rnacentral:rRNA from 1 species
GGUUAAGCGACUAAGCGUACACGGUGGAUGCCCUGGCAGUCAGAGGCGAUGAAGGACGUGCUAAUCUGCGAAAAGCGUCGGUAAGGUGAUAUGAACCGUUAUAACCGGCGAUGUCCGAAUGGGGAAACCCAGUGUGAUUCGUCACACUAUCGUUAACUGAAUACAUAGGUUAACGAGGCGAACCGGGGGAACUGAAACAUCUAAGUACCCCGAGGAAAAGAAAUCAACCGAGAUUCCCCCAGUAGCGGCGAGCGAACGGGGAGCAGCCCAGAGUCUGAAUCAGCUUGUGUGUUAGUGGAACGGUCUGGAAAGUCCGACGGUACAGGGUGAUAGUCCCGUACACCAAAAUGCACAGGCUGUGAACUCGAAGAGUAGGGCGGGACACGUGGUAUCCUGUCUGAAUAUGGGGGGACCAUCCUCCAAGGCUAAAUACUCCUGACUGACCGAUAGUGAACCAGUACCGUGAGGGAAAGGCGAAAAGAACCCCGGCGAGGGGAGUGAAAAAGAACCUGAAACCGUGUACGUACAAGCAGUGGGAGCACCUUCGGGUGUGACUGCGUACCUUUUGUAUAAUGGGUCAGCGACUUAUAUUCUGUAGCAAGGUUAACCGUAUAGGGGAGCCGCAGGGAAACCGAGUCUUAACUGGGCGUUAAGUUGCAGGGUAUAGACCCGAAACCCGGUGAUCUAGCCAUGGGCAGGUUGAAGGUUGGGUAACACUAACUGGAGGACCGAACCGACUAAUGUUGAAAAAUUAGCGGAUGACUUGUGGCUGGGGGUGAAAGGCCAAUCAAACCGGGAGAUAGCUGGUUCUCCCCGAAAGCUAUUUAGGUAGCGCCUCGUGAAUUCAUCUUCGGGGGUAGAGCACUGUUUCGGCUAGGGGGUCAUCCCGACUUACCAACCCGAUGCAAACUACGAAUACCGAAGAAUGUUAUCACGGGAGACACACGGCGGGUGCUAACGUCCGUCGUGAAGAGGGAAACAACCCAGACCGCCAGCUAAGGUCCCAAAGUCAUGGUUAAGUGGGAAACGAUGUGGGAAGGCACAGACAGCCAGGAUGUUGGCUUAGAAGCAGCCAUCAUUUAAAGAAAGCGUAAUAGCUCACUGGUCGAGUCGGCCUGCGCGGAAGAUGUAACGGGGCUAAACCAUGCACCGAAGCUGCGGCAGCGACACUAUGUGUUGUUGGGUAGGGGAGCGUUCUGUAAGCCUGCGAAGGUGACCUGUGAGGGUUGCUGGAGGUAUCAGAAGUGCGAAUGCUGACAUAAGUAACGAUAAAGCGGGUGAAAAGCCCGCUCGCCGGAAGACCAAGGGUUCCUGUCCAACGUUAAUCGGGGCAGGGUGAGUCGACCCCUAAGGCGAGGCCGAAAGGCGUAGUCGAUGGGAAACAGGUUAAUAUUCCUGUACUUGGUGUUACUGCGAAGGGGGGACGGAGAAGGCUAUGUUAGCCGGGCGACGGUUGUCCCGGUUUAAGCAUGUAGGCUGGUUAUCCAGGCAAAUCCGGAUAAUCAAGGCUGAGGUGUGAUGACGAGGCACUACGGUGCUGAAGUAACAAAUGCCCUGCUUCCAGGAAAAGCCUCUAAGCAUCAGGUAACAUCAAAUCGUACCCCAAACCGACACAGGUGGUCAGGUAGAGAAUACCAAGGCGCUUGAGAGAACUCGGGUGAAGGAACUAGGCAAAAUGGUGCCGUAACUUCGGGAGAAGGCACGCUGGUGUGUAGGUGAAGCCCCUGCGGGUGGAGCUGAGACCAGUCGAAGAUACCAGCUGGCUGCAACUGUUUAUUAAAAACACAGCACUGUGCAAACACGAAAGUGGACGUAUACGGUGUGACGCCUGCCCGGUGCCGGAAGGUUAAUUGAUGGGGUUAUCCGUAAGGAGAAGCUCUUGAUCGAAGCCCCGGUAAACGGCGGCCGUAACUAUAACGGUCCUAAGGUAGCGAAAUUCCUUGUCGGGUAAGUUCCGACCUGCACGAAUGGCGUAAUGAUGGCCAGGCUGUCUCCACCCGAGACUCAGUGAAAUUGAACUCGCUGUGAAGAUGCAGUGUACCCGCGGCAAGACGGAAAGACCCCGUGAACCUUUACUAUAGCUUGACACUGAACAUUGAGCCUUGAUGUGUAGGAUAGGUGGGAGGCUUUGAAGCGUGGACGCCAGUCUGCGUGGAGCCAACCUUGAAAUACCACCCUUUAAUGUUUGAUGUUCUAACGUUGGCCCCUGACCGGGGUUGCGGACAGUGUCUGGUGGGUAGUUUGACUGGGGCGGUCUCCUCCCAAAGCGUAACGGAGGAGCACGAAGGUUAGCUAAUCCUGGUCGGACAUCAGGAGGUUAGUGCAAUGGCAUAAGCUAGCUUGACUGCGAGCGUGACGGCGCGAGCAGGUGCGAAAGCAGGUCAUAGUGAUCCGGUGGUUCUGAAUGGAAGGGCCAUCGCUCAACGGAUAAAAGGUACUCCGGGGAUAACAGGCUGAUACCGCCCAAGAGUUCAUAUCGACGGCGGUGUUUGGCACCUCGAUGUCGGCUCAUCACAUCCUGGGGCUGAAGUAGGUCCCAAGGGUAUGGCUGUUCGCCAUUUAAAGUGGUACGCGAGCUGGGUUUAGAACGUCGUGAGACAGUUCGGUCCCUAUCUGCCGUGGGCGCUGGAGAAUUGAGGGGGGCUGCUCCUAGUACGAGAGGACCGGAGUGGACGCAUCACUGGUGUUCGGGUUGUCAUGCCAAUGGCACUGCCCGGUAGCUAAAUGCGGAAGAGAUAAGUGCUGAAAGCAUCUAAGCACGAAACUUGCCCCGAGAUGAGUUCUCCCUGAGACUUUAAGUCUCCUGAAGGAACGUUAAAGACGAUGACGUUGAUAGGCCGGGUGUGUAAGCGCAGCGAUGCGUUGAGCUAACCGGUACUAAUGAACCGUGAGGCUUAACCUU